rnacentral:rRNA from 1 species
UUGCCGUAGCAAUACGGUGAUGGGCGCACGGCGCACGGGUGCGUAACACGUGGGCAAUCUGCCCUUUGAUGGGGAAUAACCCGCCGAAAGGCGGGCUAAUUCCGCAUAAGAUUCCCGAGACUUCGGUCUUGGGAUUGAAAGCAGCAAUGCGUCGAAGGAGGAGCCCGCGCCCGAUUAGCUAGUUGGUGAGGUAACGGCUCACCAAGGCUAUGAUCGGUAGCUGGUCUGAGAGGAUGAUCAGCCACACUGGAACUGAGACACGGUCCAGACUCCUACGGGAGGCAGCAGUGGGGAAUCUUGCACAAUGGGCGAAAGCCUGAUGCAGCGACGCCGCGUGGGGGAUGAAGCAUUUCGGUGUGUAAACCCCUUUCGACUGGGAAGAAUACCUCGCAAGAGGGGUGACGGUACCAGUAGAAGAAGCCCCGGCUAACUACGUGCCAGCAGCCGCGGUAAGACGUAGGGGGCCAGCGUUGUUCGGAAUUACUGGGUGUAAAGGGUUCGUAGGCGGUGCGGCAAGUUGGGAGUGAAAUCUCUGGGCUUAACCCAGAGGCUGCUUCCAAAACUGCUGUGCUCGAGUGUGAGAGAGGCUCGUGGAAUUGCAGGUGUAGCGGUGAAAUGCGUAGAUAUCUGCAGGAACACCCGUGGCGAAAGCGGCGAGCUGGAUCACUACUGACGCUGAGGAACGAAAGCUAGGGGAGCAAACAGGAUUAGAUACCCUGGUAGUCCUAGCCCUAAACGAUCAGGACUUGGGGUGCCGCCCGUUCGGGCGUCGUCCCGGAGCUAACGCGUUAAGUCCUGCACCUGGGGAGUACGGUCGCAAGACUGAAACUC